rnacentral:rRNA from 1 species
GAUGAACGCUGGCGGCGUGCCUAAUACAUGCAAGUCGAGCGAACGGACGAGAAGCUUGCUUCUCUGAUGUUAGCGGCGGACGGGUGAGUAACACGUGGAUAACCUACCUAUAAGACUGGGAUAACUUCGGGAAACCGUAGCUAAUACCGGAUAAUAUUUUGAACCGCAUGGUUCAAAAGUGAAAGACGGUCUUGCUGUCACUUAUAGAUGGAUCCGCGCUGCAUUAGCUAGUUGGUAAGGUAACGGCUUACCAAGGCAACGAUGCAUAGCCGACCUGAGAGGGUGAUCGGCCACACUGGAACUGAGACACGGUCCAGACUCCUACGGGAGGCAGCAGUAGGGAAUCUUCCGCAAUGGGCGAAAGCCUGACGGAGCAACGCCGCGUGAGUGAUGAAGGUCUUCGGAUCGUAAAACUCUGUUAUUAGGGAAGAACAUAUGUGUAAGUAACUGUGCACAUCUCGACGGCACCUAAUCAGAAAGCCACGGCUAACUACGUG